AGGAGGAAACAGGGAAGGUGCUGCCAUUCUCAUUUCCAGUGGGAGCUAAUCCUACAGUGUGAGAAUAUAAAAGUGGCUCAAUUAGAUCAGCGUCAAAGGUCACCUUGCAAAGGAUUUCAUCCAUAGGAAAAAAAAACCAAACAGUGCCAAAAGAUUAACAGCUUGGACGCCGUGAGAUCCCCCAGGUGAUUAACUGGACAUCCACUGAAGAGAUUAGAGAUAAAAACAGGUGACAUUUCAAGAUGCUGCCUGUAUCUGAGAGCCUUCAUUGCAAAUUAGGGAAUGUGAGACUGCUCCAUCAGGAAUCCUGGGAGACCAAUGUUAUAUGUCAAAGUGCUUUCAAGUGCUUUCACAAAACAGGCUUACCUUGCAUUUCUUUAUGCAACUACUUCUUCUGUCUCUUUGCUCCUCACUUGUUCUUCUUGUGAUCUGUAUUUUCACUUCCUAAAUUGAUUUCAAUUUUCUUCCUAACAAGAAAGAAAAACUGUAAAACUGUGGGUUUUUUGAGCUUCUUAUUGCUAGAAGACUUUUUCACUUGUAUGACAUAAAAAUAAGUUUUCCACGAGAUUUCCUACUAAUGCUGUGCUACUUAGUCUCAUGUUAUUAAACAAAGACCUGGUAAACUGAAGUGCAGAAUACCAAGUUUUGUCUCUUUGUGGAGCUGGACUGUAGGAUAGGCAAAUCUGGUGGGGCCUCUUCUAUUUUAUACUUCAUUGGUAUCAUAUGUGAUUUGCUGUGAGAAGGGUGACAAAAUGCACGAAUUAAAUAUUACUACUUUGUCUCUUUGAAUGUUAUACUAUUUUAAUUACACCAUUGCUCCCCAACCAAUGAGAUAAUUGUAUUUAAAAUAAUACCAAUGGCAAAAAUAAAAAUAGUUACACUUUGUAACAGUGCA